rnacentral:lncRNA from 1 species
CCGCCUAAUUCGCGCAUCCUUAUUCAGAUUUGGUGACGUGGCGAGGCACGUAGGGGGCCCAGCGGCCAAUGGGCUCGCGGUGGCCAUGGCAACCUCUUAAAUUUAUAGCAUAUCUAAAUUGGCUACAGCGUUGCGGUCCGGACAGAGCAAAAAAAACAAGGCAUCAGUAUUGUUGAGUAUUAGCUUGUACCUGGUUCGGAGGCAAAGUUUGGCGGAGAAGGCAGCUGGUGCGCCCCCGGUCGCUGCCUGGCUACGCGCGGGCGCGGGAGUUUGGACCAAGACAAAGACGGGAGCUGUCCGCGGUGCUGAACCUGCCGCGCCGCCGCGAGGGCAAAUGGGCUCCUGUAACUUGCAAGAUAUCCAUGCUUCCCCAGAAAGAGUAAAAUACGGGGUCAAAGGUGUUAACGCCUCAUCCUGCCAUCAUGAACAAAGUACCAUGCCCAGAUGGUCUUACAGGUGAGUUCUACAAAUAUUAAGAAGCAGAAGCUUCUUGUAUUACAUAAGUUGUUCCAGAAAAAAAGAAAGAAAAAGGAAAGCUACCCAAUUGACAUUUUGAUAGCAAGUCUGGAUAAGAGCACCAGAAAAUAGUCACUAGUAAUCUGAGAAAUGCUAAAACCUAAAUGGGAGGAAGUGUAUUUCUAUCUGCUUGAUAAAACCCAGAAAGUUGAGAACAUUAACAGCCAGUGAGCACGUGGGAAAAUGAAAGCCCUGAUGCAUGUUGGGGGUGGGGGCUGCAGUUUGAGGAGUAGUAUGCCAGCAUUUUAUGACAUGUAAUGUUUGCAUACAUCAUACUGCAGAAAUCCAAUUCCUGAGUAUUAACGCCAGAGCACCAGCCACACAGAUAUAUAAAAAUACCUAUGUUAGGCUGUUCAUCUCAACGUUGUUAGUGUAGG